CCUACGGGAGGCAGCAGUGGGGAAUAUUGCACAAUGGGGGAAACCCUGAUGCAGCGACGCCGCGUGAGUGAAGAAGUAAUUCGUUACGUAAAGCUCUAUCAGCAGGGAAGAAAAACUGACCUUACGGUCAGCAGACGGUACCUGAGUAAGAAGCCCCGGCUAACUACGUGCCAGCAGCCGCGGUAAUACGUAGGGGGCACGCGUUAUCCGGAUGUACUGGGUGUAAAGAGGGCGUAGACGGUGCGGCAAGUCAGGAGUGAAAUGCCGCGGCUUAACUGCGGAACUGCUUUGGAAACUGGCGAUCGAGAGUGCGGGAGAGGUAAGCGGAAUUCCUGGUGUAGCGGUGAAAUGCGUAGAUAUUAGGAGGAACACCGGUGGCGAAGGCGGCUUACUGGACCGUAACUGACGUUGAGGCUCGAAAGCGUGGGGAGCAAACAGGAUUAGAUACCCGGGUAGUC
rnacentral:rRNA from 1 species